GUUGGGUAGAAACCCGGAAGUGUGGGAGGGAGAAAACAGGCGAACUUGCUUUGGUGUUCUAACGAAACAUUCUACCCAUCGAAAUGAUAUACUUACUGAUACUACGCAUGCGCAGACCAAAAUUACGCAACUUUUCUCGAAGCUUACCAACUGCUUGUCGAUCUGUCCUACCUAGUGUUGAAGUUUGAGCUAUGGAAAAAAAGUGGGAAGAAAUUUAUAACUCAUAAAAGGAGGGCUAAUGGAUGUGUUAACCAGUGAGUCUGCCAUGAGAACUGCAAGGAUGGACAUAGCCUGUGCUCUCCUUGAAUACAGAGGUAAUACAAUGAUAUGAUUCACAUACAGUAAUAUAUUUUAUCAUACAGUUCAUAAGGAUUCUCCUGCAAAAGUUCUGUUAAUGUGAAAGGAGCAUCCCAAUGUUCUAAGGUCCAAUACUUGUUUGUAAUGAUAUCUGAUUAACAUCUUUGAUAUUGCAUUUUGGAAAACCUAACAUGAUGCAACACACUUUCAAAUUUUAAGUUAGGUUUGCUUGAAGAAUUAUUUUGUCAGAAGCCGCAAAUAUUAGCAUACUAGCAAUAAAAUAAUUGAAAGUAAAUUAAAUAUUGAGUGAAGAUUAUUUUCUUAUUUUGAAUAACAGCAGUAUGUUACACCUAACACUACUAUUGCUUUUUCAAAAUACUGAAAAUUAAUCAAAUGACUGAUGUUAAAGCUUGUAUACUAAUGAGAACAACUGUGAUUAUAGGCAAUGCAGAAGGUUAUUGCUUGGUUUGUUCCAAGCUGGAAGAUGAUCCCAACAAAAGCACAAUUGAAAUGGUAACAAUAUUUCAACAUGUACCAUCCACAAUAAUAUAAUAUCCUACUAUGCUCAUUUUCACUCUUCAUAAUUUUGUUCUUGGGGUCUAGUAAUAUAACUUAACAAGUAAAAUAUUAACUGCUUCUACACCUGCUUGGCCGCAUCAGAAGAAAUAGUUAAUUGAAUCAGUCACUAUUAUUACUGUUUCCAUGUUCAGACUAAUCGUUAUGUUUUAGUUUUCAGGUGCAGUGUGAUAUGUGCAGUCGCUGGGCACAUUUUGAAUGUGCAAAAUACAAUGAAAAAAUUGAAAUAGCAUAUGUUUGUAAAAAAUGUAUAGAUAAAUAAGUAUUGUUCUUUGGUCUUUGUUGUUGGAGUGUUUUAUUGUUCACAAAUGUAUGUAAA